rnacentral:rRNA from 1 species
GGAACGAGCGCUGGCGGCAUGCCUAACACAUGCAAGUCGAACGAGACCUUCGGGUCUAGUGGCGCACGGGUGCGUAACGCGUGGGAAUCUGCCCUUGGGUUCGGAAUAACAGCGAGAAAUUGCUGCUAAUACCGGAUGAUGACGUAAGUCCAAAGAUUUAUCGCCCAAGGAUGAGCCCGCGUAGGAUUAGCUUGUUGGUGAGGUAAGAGCUCACCAAGGCGACGAUCCUUAGCUGGUCUGAGAGGAUGAUCAGCCACACUGGGACUGAGACACGGCCCUGACCUCCGUACGGGAGGCAGCAGGUGGGGUAAUA